UACGAAGGGGGCUAGCGUUGUUCGGAUUUACUGGGUGUAAAGCGCACGUAGGCGGAUCGUUAAGUCGGGGGUGAAAUCCUGGAGCUCAACUCCAGAACUGCCUUCGAUACUGGCGAUCUUGAAUCCGGGAGAGGGAUGUGGAAUUCCAGGUGUAGCGGUGAAAUGCGUAGAUAUCUGGAGGAACACCGGUGGCGAAGGCGGCAUCCUGGACCGGUAUUGACGCUGAUGCGCGAAAGCCAGGGGAGCAAACGGG
rnacentral:rRNA from 1 species